AUUGAACGCUGGCGGCAUGCCUUACACAUGCAAGUCGAACGGCAGCACGGGAGCAAUCCUGGUGGCGAGUGGCGAACGGGUGAGUAAAGUAUCGGAACGUGCCCAGUCGUGGGGGAUAACGUAGCGAAAGUUACGCUAAUACCGCAUACGAUCUAUGGAUGAAAGCGGGGGAUCGCAAGACCUCGCGCGAUUGGAGCGGCCGAUAUCAGGUUAGGUAGUUGGUGGGGUAAAGGCUCACCAAGCCGACGAUCUGUAGCUGGUCUGAGAGGACGACCAGCCACACUGGGACUGAGACACGGCCCAGACUCCUACGGGAGGCAGCAGUGGGGAAUUUUGGACAAUGGGCGAAAGCCUGAUCCAGCCAUGCCGCGUGCAGGAUGAAGGCCUUCGGGUUGUAACUGCUUUUGUACGGAACGAAAAGGUUUGGGCUAAUAAGCUGAGCUCAUGACGGUACCGUAAGAAUAAGCACCGGCUAACUACGUGCCAGCCGCCGCCGUAA
rnacentral:rRNA from 1 species